UNAAAGGCUGUGGCUUAACCAUAGUACGCUUUGGAAACUGUUUAACUUGAGUGCAAGAGGGGAGAGUGGAAUUCCAUGUGUAGCGGUGAAAUGCGUAGAUAUAUGGAGGAACACCGGUGGCGAAAGCGGCUCUCCGGCUUGUAACUGACGCUGAGGCUCGAAAGCGUGGGGAGCAAACAGGAUUAGAUACCCUGGUAGUCCACGCCGUAAACGAUGAGUGCUAGGUGUUAGACCCUUUCCGGGGUUUAGUGCCGUAGCUAACGCAUUAAGCACUCCGCCUGGGGAGUACGACCGCAAGGUUGAAACUCAAAGGAAUUGACGGGGGCCCGCACAAGCGGCGGAGCAUGUGGUUUAAUUCGAAGCAACGCGAAGAACCUUACCAGGUCUUGACAUCCCUCUGACCGCUCUAGAGAUAGAGCUUUCCUUCGGGACAGAGGUGACAGGUGGUGCAUGGUUGUCGUCAGCUCGUGUCGUGAGAUGUUGGGUUAAGUCCCGCAACGAGCGCAACCCCUAUUGUUAGUUGCCAUCAUUUAGUUGGGCACUCUAGCGAGACUGCCGGUAAUAAACCGGAGGAAGGUGGGGAUGACGUCAAAUCAUCAUGCCCCUUAUGACCUGGGCUACACACGUGCUACAAUGGCUGGUACAACGAGUCGCAAGCCGGUGACGGCAAGCUAAUCUCUUAAAGCCAGUCUCAGUUCGGAUUGUAGGCUGCAACUCGCCUACAUGAAAUCGGAAUCGCUAGUAAUCGCGGAUCAGCACGCCGCGGUGAAUACGUUCCCGGGCCU
rnacentral:rRNA from 1 species